CUAAAUAGAUAAGGUCGACUGAAUUAAAGAGUGCAGGGAUAGAGAAAAUCAAACACUAGUUUUUAUACUAGUUCGGCCAACAAUGCCUACAUCCAGUGUCCUUCCAAACUUGGAAGCAAAUGCACUAUAAUGGUUGCGGUUUUUACAACAAGGAAUUUAUAGAAGCAGCACACAAAAAUAUAAAUCUCCUCUCUAACCCAAAACCAAAUAUAGUUGCACACACAAAAUCAGAAAUGCAGCAAGAACCCCCUCUUCUACAAUCUGAACCCACGUUGAACAAUCCUCAAUGUGUAACUAGCACUCUUCACAGGAUGCCAAGCCUAUCAGAGCACGCUUCACAGGUU
rnacentral:lncRNA from 1 species